ensembl:lncRNA
AGAAGACAACCUUUCUCUUGCAACACAGCUCCAGACCCCAUACCCAUUGGAAUACUGUUGAGUACAUUGCCAGUCUUGGCUGGACUGUCCUGCCACACCCAUUGCACAUCCAGAUUUGGCACCUUCUGAUUUCCAUCUGUAUGGACUAAUGAAAGAUGGACUGUGUGGGCAACACUUACCCAGUAACAACGCUGUCGCAGCAGCUGUGAAACAGUGGGUCACUUCUGCUGGUGAAGAUUUUUACAGAUCAGGAUCCCAUCUGUACCAACAGCCACCACUGCUCUUUGCAAUCCUACUAUGACUGAAGAUCACAAGACGGGAGGAGACAUUCACUGUUUCAUACUGAAAGAUGGUUUUAUCCCUGUCUAGAGGAUGGAAAAUACAUGACAGAAUGGACUUCAGAAGUAACAGAGGAAGUCCUUGCUUCUAGAGCUGUCACUGAAGGCAGCAUAUGGCUCUCCUGCAGUCGGGGAAGGAUCCCACAGUGUGACCUAGCUAGCCUCCACACCUCUGAUUCCUGUUACCCCUGCACAGAGGUUACCACUUUCAGCUAGGAGGCUCUGUGCAGCGCCCAUUCCCCGGAGUGCUUAUCUGGCCAUGAGCUGUGAUUGUGUACAUCUGCAGUCAGUCAGUGCUUGGUCUUGAGGAUGAAGACAAAAUCAAAAGACAGCAAGAUGUACCAGAAGGCUGAACAGACUUACAGAGUCAGAACUGAAAGUGCAUGUGGUCUGAAGAAUCUCAUUUUUAG